GAUGAACGCUGGCGGCGUGCUUAACACAUGCAAGUCGAACGGGAAACCUUUUAUUGAAGCUUCGGCAGAUUUAGCUGGUUUCUAGUGGCGGACGGGUGAGUAACGCGUGGGUACCCUGCCCUAUACAGGGGGAUAACAACCAGAAAUGGUUGCUAAUACCGCAUAAGCGCACAGGGCCGCAUGGUCCGGUGUGAAAAACUCCGGUGGUAUAGGAUGGACCCGCGUUGGAUUAGCCAGUUGGCAGGGUAACGGCCUACCAAAGCGACGAUCCAUAGCCGGCCUGAGAGGGUGAACGGCCACAUUGGGACUGAGACACGGCCCAGACUCCUACGGGAAGCAGCAGUGGGGAAUAUUGCACAAUGGGGGAAACCCUGAUGCAGCGACGCCGCGUGAAGGAAGAAGUAUCUCGGUAUGUAAACUUCUAUCAGCAGGGAAGAUAGUGACGGUACCUGACGAAGAAGCCCCGGCUAACUACGUG
rnacentral:rRNA from 1 species